GAAAAAUUGCGGUGCGGUUUGGGUUAGAAAAUUUUCAAACCGUAUAUUUGCGGUUUGGGUUGGGUUACAUCCCAAACCGCACCAACCCAAACCGCGAACACCCCUACUCUUGACACUUAUUAGGACAUAAUACUCUUGACACUUAUCAAGACAUGUAGUUUUAUAUGAUAACUUGUUGUUUGGUUAUCAAUUAUUAUUUUAUUAGAAAGGUAGAUGUCAUAUGAGUAAGUAGAUAGUAAAAGUAGUAUUAUUUUACUUGGUGGAGAGAGAGUGUGGGCUAAUGGUUAGAGUUGGUAUGAGUUGGAGUGAUAUUAUUUUAUUUGGAGGAGAGAGAGCGGGGCCGCGCCAAUGGUUAAAAGGUAGAAGGAUUCAUAUCCAAAAAUAGAAGUGUAAAUAGUAUUAUGGGACAAAUGAAAAAUGAAAGUUUAAAGAGUAUUACGAGAUAAAUAGAGUAUAUAUUAUACUCUGAAUUGUGCAUAUGUAAUUAUGGAUUUGAGCUUUACAUGUUUAAUGUGGGAAUAGUUCUUUUAGUAAAAUAAUAUUCCAUUCAUUUUCUUUUGUUGUUCCUGUAUUUCCGAUUUGAAAAUUUUCAUAUGUUGUUCCUAUUUUGAAUCUUUCAAUAUAUAAGGUCAUCUUAGGACUUAAUUCCUCAUUGGCUUUAAACUGUAAUAAAUGUGCUCACACCAUUCAAUAGUAAUUUUUUACUCUUUCACUACUCAAACUUUUGUCUUAUUGGUUACAACAUAUAUUAAUUCAAAGGACUAUAGUCUUUAUUUUAAAUUAAUUUAAUUUUAUUUAAAAUAGUGGAAUCUUGCCUAUCUUUUAAGUAGCAUUAGUUUCUUCCCCGAUUCCAAAUAGGAAAAAAAAAAAAAAGAAAACUGAGUGAGUACUAACUAAUUGUUGGCUGGAACAAUGCCCUGGAUAAUUUUAUUUACUAAUGUGUGAGAUUAGAUUAUAUACAAUUAGAAAAUAAUCAUGGAACAUUACAUUUUUGUGAUAGUUACAAUAGUGUAAUAGGUUACUUGAACCAAUUAGCCAUCUUUCAUUACUAAGGAAAAUUAGAUCUAAAGUUUACGGGACAAUCAGCAAAUUAAAAACAUUAUUCAAAUAUCAUUGGUUAAAGUCCAACUGAGAUCUUUCAACAACAAUGAAAUAACGACAAGUCAAUUUGAUACACACUUGUAUUAUUGUAAUUAUAAUGAACAUUGUAUCUAUUUUUUGUUACUAUUCUAGCAAAUAUAAUCAAAAUUUUGAUUAAAGAUGUGAUGAAAGCUAAACAUACGUUUGAUAGUCAUUUGAAAAAAAAAAAAAAAACUUUUGCAAGAGAUUAAAUGAGUCAUCAUACUUUGAAAAAAAGAAGGUUUCAACAUUAAUUUAUUUUACUCAAAGUAUUUGGUUUUGUUUUCUAAGAUAUGAAAUUGUCAUUUUGGGAUAAUGAGAUAUAAUUGUGAUUUUUAUAUUUGUUUACCGAAUAAGGAAAUUCAAUAAUUGUGGGGUGUAUGUUAUCUUGUCUUUAAUUAAGUACUUCUUUUCGCAAAGACCAAUAUGAGAUUGUAGAUUAGUUUGUUAGUGACUUUGUAUGUCAAAUGAGAGGUUAUAUUUUCGAGUCUUUCCAUAUACGUUUUAAUUGUUUACUUUGUGUCUAAGAUACGAAAUUAUCAUUUUGGGAUAAUGGGUAUAAUUGUGAGUUUUCUAUUUAUUUACCAAGUUAGAAAAUUCACUAAUUAUGGGUGUAUGUUAUCUUGUCUUUUAAUAUUUUUUUCCCCUUACAAAGACCAAUAUGAGAUUCACUACUAGAAAACCCUUACUUUCUGGACGCUUGUUGCUCGACGCCCCAACAUAGGUGUUGGGGGUUUUAUUUUUUUCCGCAUAUCCUCGAUGCUUAAAAGCGUCGAGACUAUUGUCAACACUUUUUGGUGUCCACAUAACACGCCUACAUCAGGUACAUGCACGCCACAUUAUAUUGUAAGAUAUCGCUCUUAAAUUUUGGAGAGUUUUAAUAUUGUAAAUUAAACCGCAUUAUCACUCGCCGCAAAAGAAGCAGUAUACACCCCAUACCACGUUCGUUUCUCAGCAGUUAGUUAGUUCUCAAACACUCAAACCCUAUUCUUCUCAAUUCUUCUCAAUUCACUCUUCAAUUGCUCGCCGUUGUCUUCUUCAUCAGUCUUGAAGCAAUUGCAAACCUGCGAGAAAUGGAUCAAUUUGAUUACAGAAUUCUCUGAAUUUCAAUAAAAGUGUUGAGUAUCAUAGAUUUGUCUCGAAAUACUGUUUUUUUUUCUUGAAUUUUGUAAAAUUCAAUCUGAUUUUCAUGAAUUUCUAUUGAAUUCUUCAUUCUCAAUCUUCCAUGAACUUAGAUAAAUUGCGAAGGGGAAGGAAUUGAACAAUUUGACAAGGAAAAUCAGGGCAAUUUAAUAAAAAAGAGAUCUUUGCUUAUUGCAAUAGUUGUCGUGGAGCAGAUUGCAGGUGGCUAAAAGGGAUUAGUCUUCUUCCUUCUGUAGCACCUCUAGGUGAACUAGGUACUCGAAAAUAAUAAUAAAGGUCUAACAGAUGAAGAACAGGAUGACACUACUUGAGGCUUCAAAUUUGCUACCACCAUUGUUUUGCUAGAUCUUAGUAUUAGUUAGCUUUGUA